AGCAAUCUAUACAGUGAAACUGCGAAUGGCUCAUUAAAUCAGUUAUCGUUUAUUUGAUAUUACCUUACUACAUGGAUAACCGUGGUAAUUCUAGAGCUAAUACAUGCUUAAAAGUCCCGACUCACGAAGGGAUGUAUUUAUUAGAUAAAAAACCAAUGUCUUCGGACUCCUUGGUGAUUCAUAAUAACUUUUCGAAUCGCAUGGCCUUGUGCCGGCGAUGGUUCAUUCAAAUUUCUGCCCUAUCAACUUUCGAUGGUAGGAUAGUGGCCUACCAUGGUUGCAACGGGUAACGGGGAAUUAGGGUUCGAUUCCGGAGAGGGAGCCUGAGAAACGGCUACCACAUCCAAGGAAGGCAGCAGGCGCGCAAAUUACCCAAUCCCGACACGGGGAGGUAGUGACAAUAAAUACUGAUACAGGGUCCUUUCGGAUCUUGUAAUCGGAAUGAGUACAAUUUAAAUCCCUUAACGAGGAACAAUUGGAGGGCAAGUCUGGUGCCAGCAGCCGCGGUAAUUCCAGCUCCAAUAGCGUAUAUUAAAGUUGUUGCAGUUAAAAAGCUCGUAGUUGAACCUUGGGCCUGGCUGACCGGUCCGCCUCACGGCGCGUUACUGGCUUGGCUGGGUCUUUCCUUCUGGCAAACCGCAUGCCCUUUACUGGGUGUGUUGGGGAACCAGGACUUUUACUUUGAAAAAAUUAGAGUGUUCAAAGCAGGCAUAUGCUCGAAUACAUUAGCAUGGAAUAAUAGAAUAGGACGUGCGGUUCUAUUUUGUUGGUUUCUAGGACUGCCGUAAUGAUUAAUAGGGAUAGUCGGGGGCAUCCGUAUUCAAUUGUCAGAGGUGAAAUUCUUGGAUUUAUUGAAGACGAACUACUGCGAAAGCAUUUGCCAAGGAUGUUUUCAUUAAUCAGGAACGAAAGUUGAGGGAUCGAAGACGAUCAGAUACCGUCGUAGUCUCAACCAUAAACUAUGCCGACUAGGGAUCGGGCGAUGUUCUUAUUUUGACACGCUCGGCACCUUACGAGAAAUCAAAGUCUUUGGUUCUGGGGGAG
rnacentral:rRNA from 1 species